rnacentral:lncRNA from 1 species
GCCCUAGUUAGGUCCAACCAUUAACACGAUCAUAUUUAGAAAUCUAACUAUCAAAUAAUCAGACCCAAUUUUCGUCGGCUAAUCUGACCACUUGCUAGAGAGACUCAAUUGAGUCAUCAUAUUAUGAAUGAUAAUUCCAAUAGCAGAUGAGCACCAGGCCUUUGGGCCUCCAAUGAUCAUCAUACUGAUAGAUCCAUUAUCAUCCA